rnacentral:rRNA from 1 species
AAUAUUGGACAAUGGGCGCAAGCCUGAUCCAGCAACGCCGCGUGGAGGACGAAGGUCUUCGGAUCGUAAACUCCUGUCAGGCGGGACGAAGGCUGCAGGGCAAAUAGUCCUGUAGCUUGACGGUACUGCCAGAGGAAGCCCCGGCUAACUCCGUGCCAGCAGCCGCGGUAAUACGUAGGUGGCGAGCGUUGUCCGGAUUUACUGGGCGUAAAGAGCGCGCAGGCGGCUGGGUAAGUCCGAUGUGAAAGCUUCCGGCUUAACUGGAAAACGGCAUCGGAAACUGCUCGGCUUGAAGGUGGGAGAGGGUAGCGGAAUUCCCGGUGUAGUGGUGAAAUGCGUAGAUAUCGGGAGGAACACCAGUGGCGAAGGCGGCUACCUGGCCCAUUCUUGACGCUGAGGCGCGAAAGCUAGGGGAGCGAA